rnacentral:rRNA from 1 species
UACGGAGGGUGCAAGCGUGUUCGGAUUUACUGGGCGUAAAGCGCGCGCAGGUGGGUGAACAAGUCGGAAGUGAAAUCCUGCGGCUCAACCGCAGGGGCUGCCUUCUAAACUGUCAGGCCUGGAGCACGGUAGAGGCAGGAUGGAAUUCCCGGUGUAGCGGUGGAAUGCGUAGAGAUCGGGAAGAACACCAGUGGCGAAGGCGGUCUGCUGGGCCGUUGCUGACGCUGAGGCGCGACAGCGUGGGGAGCAAACAGG